UGGGGAAAUGAUCAUCUUGCCUGAGAUCCCGCUUGGAAGAAGAAUGCCUCCGUGAAGCAGACGAACCGACGUAGUCGAACGGGUCCUCACAAUCCGGCACGCUGCGGAACUCUAUCGAGACGAAGCAAACCGGAAACACAAAUCAACACACGGAAUUCACCACACGAUGCACAACACAUAUGAUGCAUGAGCAGUUGAAUACAUGCAAGUCACGACAUGACAAAUCACACAAUCAAACACUACACAUUAAGUAAAGUUCAAUAUGCAACGAGUUGCAUAUUGACGAAACUCCACAUACGAGUUAUUUAGUUCUAUCCCGAUUAGAUACACGGCAAUAUUAAAUGUGGUUAAUCAUGGCAAGAGAUGAAGCGGUGAUUCUACAUGUCAUCCUAGUCGGUUAACACAUGAAACAAAGAACGGAGCUACAUUCAAGAGGCAUGCACAACAGGAAGCACUAACUAAAAUGAUGCAUGUAUGCUCAAUCCCUAACUAUGCACUUACACCAACCUACGAGGUCAACAAGUGCCACCUCAACACAAAGUGACACUUCUGCAUAACUGCUCAUAACUGGAAUCCAGAGUCACCGUUGUAUUCAUUGGGUUCUUCUACCCCAAAUCCGUAUAUAACACUGCUAUAAAUGCGCGGAAAAACACCAAAAACAGCAAAGGAAAAACUACACAGGAUCAAACUACGCUAAUAACAAGAACAUGGGUUGUUCCUGAUAUGCCAGAUUUGACAUAUUCCUCUUCUGGAAUAUCCCAGAUUUGGAAAUACAUCACAAAACUAAACAAAACAAAAACAACAACAACAACAAAAAAAACAUAUAAACAUCAGGGGGUCCCACUGGUCAUACUCACCAGGGCCCCUUAUGGGUGUAUGCAAGUGGGCCAUACCCCCACAAUACACACACACCCCAACUACUGCGCCACACACCUAAAAAAAUAAAAUAAAAUGGGGUACAAGGGGAUUCGAACCCUGAACCUGGGGUACCAUAAGCACAACUCCACACCACUAUGUACUGCAGCACAGCUGACCAUAGAUGAGGACUUAACAUAGCUAAACUAACUCUACUGCUAGUGCAACAGGGAAAAAACGAAAUAAACAAAAGGGGGCGCCGGCGGGAUUUGAUCCCUGGACCUCACGAUUGCUAAAGAGCGCGCUGACCACUGGGAUACAAGCGAAUCAGUGAUGCAAAGAGGGGUUUCCGCGAGAUGAACCAUAUCCUGAGCUGAACCUGACGAACCUGAAAUGUGAAACAGAGAUAUCUCUGUUGCCAGGUCGGGAACGCAGCUCCUGUCCAUGGAGGGCAUGGACUCCUGCAAGAGAGAGAAGUCAGGGGGGAGAGGAGGCCAAGAAGAGAGGAGGGAGAAGCGCACGAGGGGGCGGGGCACCUGCCUGAGCAUGCGAGCACCACGCUCGCUCGAAGCAGCGGCGUCCUGCCUCUGCUCGUUUUAUGACGAACAAGAGCAGAGGAGAGCACCACGGAGGAUGACGCGCGUCACGGAUGGGCAGGAAGGCGAGCUCGAGUCGGAUCCAGAAGACCUUUGUGUCUCCGUUCCAUUCCCGGUGGUGGCGGCGUCUGGCACCGCGAGGCCGGCCGACGGGGAGCUUCUUGGGGAGGCAACCAUGGAGGCCUGCUGAAAGAAACGAGAGAGAGAUGAGACAGAGAGAGAGAGACAGGAAUAGAAGGAGGAGAGCAGGAAGAAGGAGAAGGGAGGGACCCGGGUCCGUCCUGCGGAGCUCUGGCUGCCGGCAACUUGCUGGAGCGACGGCGGGGUCGGCUUGGCUCGGGCUCGCGAGGAGAGGUGGAUCGCGCCGCUUGCUGGAGGCCAGGAUCGAGCACGGAGGCGCACGGGUGGAGCUAGCUGAACCACGGGCAUGGCUGUGGAUGGCUCGGAGGCAAAGCGAGGGCAAGAACAGGUGGGUUGCGACGCUAACUCUGGAGAAAAUCCCGAGGAGGGAGACACCGGGCGGCGGCAGGAGGAAGAGAAGGGGAAAAUGGAAGGAGGAGGGAACCCUAGGCCCGUCGGUUGCUCUAAUAUGACUAUAGGAGGAAGGGAGGGCCGUCUGAUUGAGCUCCAGGAGAUCAAUGGUGAUCCCCUGGUCCGUACAGGAGAUGACGUAGGAAGAAGAAGGUGUGGUGGGCUUGAUGGGCUGAGAUCAAACAGGUAAGAGAGUUGGGCCUGCUCUGAUUAUAUUCUACCUUAGCCAAUAAUUCAACAAACAGAUUUGGAGAAAAAGAAAACGAGAGGUAGAGAGAGAAAUAGAGUUGGAGAAAUAUUUUUGUGGAACCAUAAAAAUAUACUCUAUUUCAUAAAAUCGGUUUGGAAUUUUUACAGGAAACAAAUUCAAACAAGUUUGAUUUAAACUCAUGCUUGCCUGAAUUUAAAACCUAACCAAACCAAUGUCAAAUGGGAUGAAAUUUUGGAGGGUCACCCUACAUAAUUAAUAUGAUUUAUGGGAAUAAGAUGAACAUUUAAGAAGGAAGUAAAAAAAAUACCAAACAUAAUGAAUUAAAUUCGUUAUGUUUGAAUUCAAGCUCCCUUUUAAACGAACUAUGGAUGGGGUGACUUUUGAGAGGGUGGUUGGACAUAAAGCAAAGGAAUUAUGGGCAAAGUUGAAGGCAAGAAUUAAGAUAGGAAAGAAUGGUGUUAAAUUGCAAGUGUGUUAUGAUUAGAAUAGUUCAUUAUAGCCCCCUAAUAAUAUUGGGAGGAUAUGUUAUAUAGAGUAAUCACCAUGUGAAUCCCUUGAUUUAAAUAGAUCCAAGAUCCAUGCAAUUUAUUUAUUUGGGGUGCAGAAACAAAUUAAUGACAUGAUGAAUGCGACAAACAAACAAAAACACAUGGUCGCAAAGGAACAAAAGGGAAAUCUUCUGGAGCGUCGGUCUCGGGCUGUCACAACUCUCCUACACUACAAGAGGAUCUCGCCCCGAGAUCCAAGAAUGAAAGGGGGAGAGGAUGAGAAAGAACAAGAGGUAAAACUUAGUCGCUUCUUGACAAAGAAGUGACACCAACGAUCCUUGAAGGUAGCAAAGCGAUGAGGAAUGAUAUGAGAAGAUGGAAGAAUUCACGGAAAAUUUCGGCAGCACUUCGAUAGGAAAAUGGGACAAAAAAUUCGAUAAGAAGAGAGAAUUAGACAAUAUUCACAACCAACAACUAAAUAGAACAAGGGAACACCAUGAACUUGAUAGAACAACAAGAUAGACAUAAAAGAGCAAUAUUACAAUGCCUCCGGAACAAGAGAAUAUGAACUAGCUCAAGCGAAAGAAGAGAAUGAAGAAAAGAAUGACAACUAUCAUCACAAUAGAAUUGAAGAGCCUCCGGAUAGAGAAAUGAUAUAGUAGUUGGAAAACCAACAACGAAAAGUACAAGAUAGUAGUGGGCUUAUGAAAAUCGUCUCAGCAAAUAUAAGGUGACAACCAACCACUAAAAGAAACAAGGAUAGAUUGGGAGAAACAAGAUAUGAACAAUUCUUACACCAAGAGGAUGCAUUGAGAACUUAGAUUAAAGACAAGCACCAUGAUAGUACAAUCCCUAGGAAAAGCUUUAGGUGAAAUCCAAACCAAGAUAACUCAAUGAAGAAAUCAUGGGUUGAAAUAUCUCAACACCAUAGAAUCGGUGGGUUUAAUUAUCUCAUCCUUGAAAGGAAAACUCUCUGAGGCUCCUACACUAACAAGAAUGCUAUAAUACCACCUCAACGGAUAAAGGAAGAACAAUUGCACAUAGAAAUACAAGAGAAAGGAUACUUGAGGUUCUCCAACAAGAAUCUUGAAGAACACUUGAGAAUGGAUUGAAACCUUGAUGAACCACCGAGAAGGACCUCCGUAUACGAAUGAAUGAUGCAAAGAUAUCAAGGUAGAAAAGAAUAAGAUUAUGACCUUGCCAAGAUUUAGAUGAAGCCUCACAAAGAGAUACUUGAUAAAACUUGGAACUCUGGAAAAGAAAAGAUAAAAACACUUGAGAAAAGGAAUUGAUAUCAUGAGCCACUCCGGACGAAGAAUUGGGAUCACUUGAAAGAAGGAAGAACAAGAAUAAGAAUUAUGUUAUGCUUAUCCUUCAUCAAAUUAAAUUGAUGACAAGCAACGGAUUUAGCAUACAACUUAUUCUUCUGGAAAAGAUUAAAGAGAGAUAGAUAAAGCACAAACUAGAAGAAAUGUUGCAAGAAACACCGAUAAGAAUUCACAAUUGAAUGGGAACACCACGAAUUAAUGGAGAUACAUGAGAAUGAAGAGAACAUAAGCCACCUGAGAGAAAACUUGAACAAGGCACCGGAUAAACGAGAGACGAACGAAGAGACAACAAUGGAGAAGAAUUGAGGAUGAAAGCUGAAAGCUGAGAACGAAUAAUCUUCUGAAAUGAUGGCCUUCGGAGGAUCGAGAAAUAAAAAUAACUCAGAGAAGCACCGGAUAGCACGAAAGAGAUUACUCGUGAUUGGAACACAUAAGAUGAUGGCACAAAGCUGAAAUGAUGAAUCUGCAAGAGAAUGGACCAAGAUUCGAGAGAAACACUCCUUCGGUCUUGAAAGAAGAGAACGAUGAGAAGAACACCACCAAGAACACUGAGACAUUCCGGAACAAAGAAGAAUGAAAGGUUGAGCCAAUAUGAGAAUUAAUUCAAAUAGAACUUGGAGAAAGAAUAUGACUGAUGAAAAUCAUGCUUACGUCAUAGUUGAGAAGAAUUAGAGAUCUCCGGGAAAGAUUAAAAGAGCCAGGAAAGAUCCUGGGAAAGAACAUGUGGGUUAUGGGCCCACUCAAAGAAACCACCGAUGAAAAGAUUUUUUAGAACGAUAGAUAUUGCACCGGUAUGAAGAGAACUAGAUGAGGUUAGCACCCCGAAAUAAUUAAAUAAUUGAGAACAAGAAUUCUGAGAUAACUUCAACACUCCGGAUAGAAUAGAGAGAAAUGACAACAAGAAGAUAGACUGAUAAAAAUUUCCAACAUGGGAAAGAAUUACAAGGAUGAAAAGGAUAUGAUGACACGGACAACUGAAUUAAAUUCAUCGGUAAGGAAGACAAGAAUGAACAAAGAUGAACACGAAGCUCCUGAGAAUCUUCACGAUGAAUCACCGGAUAGGACACGGAAUAAAAAAUAGCUGAAGCACCAUGAAAUGAAUGCGCUUGGAUGAAAUCCAAUCAUCAUAGAAAAAGGGUGGGAGGGUGGGGAAAAACAAAGACGACUUGGGACAGAUGAGAUGAACUCCGGAUGAAAUGAGAGAACGAUCUUGCAAGAAUUGGAGAGGAUUGAAUCCACUUGGAGAGAAACACACCGGUUGAAUGGAAUUGAUACGACGAUCUGAUUGAGCAAAGAAUUUGCAUUCCCAUAAAAAUAUGAGAACACAGAUUAGGAAAGGUCUGAAAUCACCACUUGACAUCGGAGCAACUUGAAUUACCAUAGUUCAACAAAACAAAGGGUGUGGCUUACGAAACAAGCCAGAACAAACUCAUGAGAAAGAUUUCGUCCGAUAUUUUCGUGGACAGGAUCGCACGGGCUCGAUUUUACAAUAGCCAUCAAGUGCAAGGUAGUGCACCCGACAUACGAAGCGUCCCCGAGUCGUAGCAAGCUACAAGGAAUCUUUAAGACACAACGUGUACUGCUGUAAGUCGACCGUGAACAAACGAAUCCACUAGAUGUCGAACCCAACCUAACAUCAUGCAUUUGUUGGAAGAUUGUCCUAUAAGCAACUACUUGAAUUCCCACCUAUGAAUUCCCGAAAUGUCUGGUCAUGCAAUCUGGUACACGGAUACAAGGAGUAAUAAUCACACAACUCCUAUACUAACCCGUCACCUGUAUCACAUCCGUCAACACACAACCAGAAUCUCGGAACUUCAUCUACAACAGACCCUCGUGAUCACAACGAUACAAAGUAUGGCAGUACUCCCGAACAAUCUGCACCAGUACUGGAGACAUCGGGGUUAUCUCGCCACUACUAGUAUUGAAGCAAUUACGAACAUCCUUCGUUCUGAGAUACUAAGAAAUAUGAAUGAUAACGAUGUGCUCGAGAAUCCCCUGGAGCUCAACUCCCCUGAGACUUAGAGCAGAUAGGAGGCACCAAGACAGAACUCCGUCACAUCGGCAUCAUAUAGAUUCCAAAAAUAUCCGCGUGAUCCUAAAAAAAUUUUGAGUGAGAAGAGGAGUAGAAUAAAUUAUUACAUCAAGAUUCCUCACGAGAGCAUAGAAGAGGAGAAAAAGAAUCCUACUCUCCGAUAUAUAACUAGACUCAAAUAGUUUUUCACUAGACUCGACUCAGCCAAGUUCGAUCAAUCAAGGGGGCUCCUAGGUCGGUACUGCUCUGAUACCAACUUGUCACGCCCAAGAUGCGACCCUAUCCUCAAUUUGGCACGAAGGCCUUGUCAGGGAUAGAAGCGCAUCUCGUCGUGUCGCAAGAAUGGAUAUCGUUACAAGUACAUGUACUGAAAAGAAGAGAUAUAUAGAAAUUGGCUUACACUCGCCACAAGCUACAUCACAGUCACAUCAGUACAUUACAUAAUCAUCAAGAGCAAGAGCAGGGUCCGACUACGGACGAAAAUAAACGACAAAAGAAGAACGACGUCCAUCCUUGCUAUCCCAGGCUGCCGGCCUGGAACCCAUCCUAGAUCGAUGAAGAAGAAGAAGAAGAAGCAGCUCCAAAUGAACAAUCAACGCGGUCGCGUCAAGUAACCUUUACCUGUACCUUCAACUGGUGUUGUAGUAAUCUGUGAGCCACAGGGGGGGCUCAGCAAUCUCAUUUCCAAAGGUAUCAAGACUAGCAAAGCUUAAUGGGUGAGGCAUGGUUAAGUGGUGAGGUUGCAGCAGCGGCUAAGCAUAUAUUUGGUGGCUAACUUACGAGUACAAGAAAUAAGAGGGGGGAGAUCUACGCAUAACGGACGAGAACUACUCAUGAUCAAAUGAAUGAUCCUGAACACCUACCUACGUCAGACAUAACCCCACCGUGUCCUCGAUCGGAGAAGGAACUCACGAAAGAGACAAUCACGGUUACGCACACAGUUGGCAAGUUUUAAUUAAGUUAACUUCAAGUUAUCUAGAACCAGUAUUAAACAAAGUUUCCACGUUGCCACCUAACCGCGGGCACGGCUUUCCGAAAGAUUUAACCCUGCAGGGGUGCUCCAACUAGUCCAUCACAAAUUACCACAAGCCGCAUAGAAAUCCUCAAUCACGAAGCUCGCGAUCUCGUCGGAUUCCCUAGUGGAAAACCUCAACUCUGAGAUUACCCAAAGCAUCACCGGAAUCCCGAUGCACAAGAUAUCUCGUCAAAGGUAAAAGUAAUCCAGCAAGGCCGCCCGACGUGUCGACGAUCCCGAUAGGAGUCGCGUACCUCGUUCUCAGGACACGACGGAUGAGCGAUGGUUACCACGCCAAACGCCGAGUUGCCCCGGGUAGCGUUAAUAAGCUGCUCUGUUUUGGACCAACACUCAUGAGGAGCACUGGCCCGGGGGUUGAUUAAAAUAGUCCGCGGGUGCCGGCGGGUCCCUAUGCAAUUUUUAUUAGGUGAUUAGGCAAAUAUAGUACCAAUGUUGGGCCUUGCCAGACCAGCUUUAAUCUAAAACGAAUUAUCAAGGGGGUCCCCAUAACAACCCCGAUCGUGUUAGGAGCGCUCAUUUAUGGAACAUAACACCGGUAGCCGGAAACUAAAGGGGAAAAGGUGGAACAAAACACCAGGCUAGAAAAGGGCCGAGCCUUCCACCUUUUACCAAGUAUAUAGGUGCAUUAAAUUAAAUAGAAAUUAAUAUGGUGAUAUAACAAGGAACCCAUGCUUUCACAUGGAAGCAAUGCACCUGCAACUAGCAAGGCUAACACAGGAUUAAGCAAGCAGUAACAUAGCCAAUCAGUGGUUUGCUAGGUUGAACAGGUUGAAGGUUAACAUGGCAUUGUUGAGAGGCUGACAUUUAACAGGUGGUAGGCAACGAGACAUAAUCGAUAGAAGCGAUAAAACUAGCAUGGCAAUGAUAGUAAUGGUAUCUGGGGAAAUGAUCAUCUUGCCUGAGAUCCCGCUUGGAAGAAGAAUGCCUCCGUGAAGCAGACGAACCGACGUAGUCGAACGGGUCCUCACAAUCCGGCACGCUACGGAACUCUAUCGAGACGAAGCAAACCGGAAACACAAAUCAACACACGGAAUUCACCACACGAUGCACAACACAUAUGAUGCAUGAGCAGUUGAAUACAUGCAAGUCACGACAUGACAAAUCACACAAUCAAACACUACACAUUAAGUAAAGUUCAAUAUGCAACGAGUUGCAUAUUGACGAAACUCCACAUACGAGUUAUUUAGUCCUAUCCCAAUUAGAUACACGGCAAUAUUAAAUGUGGUUAAACAUGGCAAGAGAUGAAGCGGUGAUUCUACAUGUCAUCCUAGUCGGUUAACACAUGAAACAAAGAACGGAGCUACAUUCAAGAGACAUGCACAACAGGAAGCACUAACUAAAAUGAUGCAUGUAUGCUCAAUCCCUAACUAUGCACUUACACCAACCUACGAGGUCAACAAGUGCCACCUCAACACAAAGUGACACUUCUGCAUAACUGCUCAUAACUGGAAUCCAGAGUCACCAUUGUAUUCAUUGGGUUCUUCUACCCCAAAUCCGUAUAUAACACUGCUAUAAAUGCGCGGAAAAACACCAAAAACAGCAAAGGAAAAACUACACAGGAUCAAACUACGCUAAUAACAAGAACAUGGGUUGUUCUUGAUAUGCCAGAUUUGACAUAUUCCUCUUCCGGAAUAUCCCAGAUUUGGAAAUACAUCACAAAACUAAACAAAACAAAAACAACAACAACAACAACAAAACAUAUAAACAUCAGGGGUUCCCACUGGUCAUACUCACCAGGGCCCCUUAUGGGUGUAUGCAAGUGGGCCAUACCCCCACAAUACACACACACCCCAACUACUGCGCCACACACCUAACAAAAUAAAAUAAAAUGGGGUACAAGGGUAUUUGAACCCUGAACCUGGGGUACCAUAAGCACAACUCCACAGCACUAUGUACUACAGCACAGCUGACCAUAGAUGAGGACUUAACAUAGCUAAACUAACUCUACUGCUAGUGCAACAGGGGAAAAAAUGAAAUAAACAAAAGGGGGCGCCGGCGGGAUUUGAUCCCUGGACCUCACGAUUGCUAAAGAGCGUGCUGACCACUAGGAUAGAAGCAAAUCGGUGAUGCAAAAAGGGGUUUCCGCGAGAUGAACCAUAUCCUAAGCUGAACCUGACGAACCUGAAAUGUGAAAUAGAGAUAUCUCUGUUGCCAGGUCGGGAACGCAGCUCCUGUCCACGAAGGGCAUGGACUCCUGCAAGAGAGAGAAGUCAGGGGGGAGAGGAGGCCGAGAAGAGAGGAGGGAGAAGCGCACGAGGGGGUGGGGCACCUGCCUGGGCAUGCGAGCACCACGCUCGCUCGAAGCAGCGGCGUCCUGGCUCUGCUCGUUUUCUGACGAACAGGAGCAGAGGAGAGCACCACGGAGGACGACGCGCG
rnacentral:lncRNA from 1 species